ACGAUGAAGAACAGCUUGCUGUUUCUGAUUAGUGGCGGACGGGUGAGUAAUGUAUAGGGAUCUGCCUAGUAGUGGGGGACAACAGCCGGAUCCAGAUUAAUACCGCAUAAUUCCUACGGGAGAAAGAGGGCCUAUACUUGUAAGCUCUUGCUAUUGGAUGAGCCUAUGUCGGAUUAGUUAGUUGGUGAGGUAAUGGCUUACCAAGACUACAAUCCGUAGCUGGUUUGAGAGGAUGAUCAGCCACACUGGGACUGAGACACGGCCCAGACUCCUACGGGAGGCAGCAGUAGGGAGUAUUGGACAAUGGGCGCAAGCCUGAUCCAGCAAUGCCGCGUGUGUGAAGAAGGCCUGCGGGUUGUAAAGCACUUUCAAUUGGGAAGAAAGAUUUAGAGUUAAUACCUCUUAAUAUUGACGUUACCAAUAGAGAAGCACCGCCGGCUAACUCUGUGCCAGCAGCCGCGGUAAUACAGAGGGUGCAAGCGUUAAUCGGAAUUACUGGGCGUAAAGCGCGCGUAGGCGGCUAUUUAAGCUAGAUGUGAAAGCCCUGGGCUCAACCUGGGAACUGCAUUCCAAACUGGAAGACUAGAGUAUGGUAGAGGAGUGUGGAAUUUCAGGUGUAGCGGUGAAAUGCGUAGAGAUCUGAAGGAACAUCAGUGGCGAAGGCGACACUCUGGACCAAUACUGACGCUGAGGUGCGAAAGCGUGGGUAGCAAACAGGAUUAGAUACCCUGGUAGUCCACGCCGUAAACGAUGUCUACUAGCCGUUGGGUUCCUUGAGGACUUAGUGGCGCAAGCUAACGCGAUAAGUUGACCGCCUGGGGAGUACGGUCGCAAGACUAAAACUCAAAUGAAUUGACGGGGGCCCGCACAAGCGGUGGAGCAUGUGGUUUAAUUCGAUGCAACGCGAAGAACCUUACCAGGUCUUGACAUGUACGGAAGGUCGAAGAGAUUUGACUGUGCCUUCGGGAACCGUAACACAGGUGCUGCAUGGCUGUCGUCAGCUCGUGUCGUGAGGUGUUGGGUUAAGUCCCGCAACGAGCGCAACCCCUGUCCUUAUGCCAGCACGUAAUGGUGGGGACUCUAAGGAGACUGCCGGUGACAAACCGGAGGAAGGUGGGGAUGACGUCAAGUCAUCAUGGCUCUUAUGGGUGGGGCUACACACGUGUUACAAUGGGCAGUACAGAGGGUUGCCAAGCCGCGAGGUGGAGCUAAUCCCAGAAAGCUGUUCGUAGUCCGGAUUGGAGUCUGCAACUCGACUCCAUGAAGUCGGAAUCGCUAGUAAUCGCGAAUCAGAAUGUCGCGGUGAAUACGUUCCCGGGCCUUGUACACACCGCCCGUCACACCAUGGGAGUUGGCUGCAAAAGAAGUAGGUAGACUAACCUUCGGGAGGUCGCUCACCACUUUGUGAUUAA
rnacentral:rRNA from 1 species